rnacentral:rRNA from 1 species
AUACGGAGGAUGCGAGCGUUAUCCGGAUUUAUUGGGUUUAAAGGGUGCGCAGGCGGCCAUUUAAGUCAGCGGUUAAAUCGUGGGGCUCAACCCCAUUCUGCCGUUGAUACUGGGUGGCUUGAUUGCGGUCGAGGUUGGUGGAAUUCGUUGUGUAGCGGUGAAAUGCAUAGAUAUGACGAAGAACACCGAUUGCGUAGGCAGCUGACCAGACCGCAAAUGACGCUCAUGCACGAAAGUGCGGGGAUCGAACAGGAUUAGAUACCCUGGUAGUCCGCACAGUAAACGAUGAAUACUUGUUUUCGGCGAUAUAAUGUCGGAGGCAAAGCGAAAGCGAUAAGUAUUCCACCUGGGGAGUACGCCGGCAACGGUGAAACUCAAAUGAAUUGACGGGG